UACGUAGGGUGCGAGCGUUGUCCGGAAUUAUUGGGCGUAAAGAGCUCGUAGGCGGUUUGGCAAGUCGGGUGUGAAAACUCCGGGCUCAACUCGGAGACGCCACUCGAUACUGCUAUGACUCGAGUCCGGUAGGGGAGUGCGGAAUUCCUGGUGUAGCGGUGAAAUGCGCAGAUAUCAGGAGGAACACCGGUGGCGAAGGCGGCACUCUGGGCCGGUACUGACGCUGAGGAGCGAAAGCGUGGGGAGCGAACAGG
rnacentral:rRNA from 1 species